rnacentral:lncRNA from 1 species
UGUAAGUGUCAAAUAGAUUUCACAAAGAAGGAAAUAAGACUUUUGAUAAAUAAUAGAUAAAGUCACAGCUUUACAUAGUCUUUAGAUUUCUCUUAUGUAAAGAACAAUUAAUCUUAAGAGUCUUUUCAAUUAGCGCUUAUUCAGCCUAAAACCCAAGCGAUAAAUAUUUAUGAUGUAAUGAGGCAUGAGGACCGUCAAGGGGUCUCAAUCAGUUAAUGCUUUG